rnacentral:rRNA from 1 species
UACGUAGGGUGCGAGCGUUGUCCGGAAUUAUUGGGCGUAAAGGGCUCGUAGGCGGUUUGUCGCGUCGGGAGUGAAAACCAGGUGCUUAACACCUGGCUUGCUUUCGAUACGGGCAGACUAGAGGUAUUCAGGGGAGAACGGAAUUCCUGGUGUAGCGGUGAAAUGCGCAGAUAUCAGGAGGAACACCGGUGGCGAAGGCGGUUCUCUGGGAAUGACCUGACGCUGAGGAGCGAAAGUGUGGGGAGCGAGCAGG